UAACCUACGGGGGGCAGCAGUGGGGGAUAUUGCACAAUGGGGGGAACCCUGAUGCAGCAACGCCGCGUGGGUGAAGGAGUGCUUCGGCAUGUAAAGCCCUAUCGGCAGGGAAGAAGCAAGACGGUACCUGACUAAGAAGCCCCGGCUAACUACGUGCCAGCAGCCGCGGGAAUACGUAGGGGGCGAGCGUUAUCCGGAUUCACUGGGGGUAAAGGGAGCGGAGACGGCCAUGCAAGCCAGGGGUGAAAGCCCGGGGCCCAA
rnacentral:rRNA from 1 species